GAUGAACGCUGACAGAAUGCUUAACACAUGCAAGUCAACUUGAACUUCGGUUUGGGUGGCGGACGGGUGAGUAACGCGUAAAGAACUUGCCUCACAGAUAGGGACAACAUUUGGAAACGAAUGCUAAUACCUGAUAUUAUGAUUUUAGGGCAUCCUAGGAUUAUGACAGCUAUAUGCGCUGUGAGAGAGCUUUGCGUCCCAUUAGCUAGUUGGAGAGGUAACGGCUCACCAAGGCGAUGAUGGGUAGCCGGCCUGAGAGGGUGAUCGGCCACAAGGGGACUGAGGCACGGCCCUUACUCCUACGGGAGGCAGCAGUGGAGAAUAGUGGACAAUAGACCAAGAGUCUGAUCCAGCAAUUCUGUGUGCACGAUGAAGUUUUUCGGAAUGUAAAGUGCUUUCAGUUGGGAAGAAAAAAAUGACGGUACCAACAGAAGAAGUGACGGCUAAAUACGUG
rnacentral:rRNA from 1 species